UACGGAGGGCGCAAGCGUUGUUCGGAAUCACUGGGCGUAAAGCGCUUGUAGGCGGCUUGGCAAGUCGGGUGUGAAAUCCCGAGGCUCAACCUCGGAACUGCACUCGAAACUGCCUGGCUCGAGUCCCGGAGAGGGUGGCGGAAUUCCCGGUGUAGGGGUGAAAUCCGUAGAUAUCGGGGGGAACACCAGUGGCUAAGGCGGCCACCUGGACGCUGACUGACGCUGAGACGCGAAAGCGUGGGGAGCAAACAGG
rnacentral:rRNA from 1 species